rnacentral:misc_RNA from 1 species
AAGUCGUAACAAGGUUUCCGUAGGUGAACCUGCGGAAGGAUCAUUAACUGUUUGGAAUUGAAUGUAGUGUGGGAUUUGAGCGCAUUUGAAUAGUUAAUUCUAUGCGGUUUAUAUACAAAUUUAUCUGUAAUAAUUAUUUAUAAUAAUAAUAAUAAAUACAACUUUUAACAAUGGAUCUCUUGGCUCUU